GGGCCCCUAGCUCAGCUGGCAGAGCACCCGACUUUUAAUCGGGGUGUCCAGGGUUCGAAUCCCUGGGGGCCCACCA
rnacentral:tRNA from 1 species